rnacentral:rRNA from 1 species
CCUACGGGAGGCAGCAGUAGGGAAUCUUUCACAAUGGGCGAAAGCCUGAUGGAGCAACGCCGCGUGCGGGAUGACGGCCUUCGGGUUUUUAACUGCUUUUAUAAGCGAGACAUCUGAUGGUAACUUAUGAAUAAGGAGCGGCUAACUACGUGCAAGCAGCAGCGGUCAUACGUAGGAGCCGAGCAUUAUACGGAGGGACUGGGGGUAAAGAGUUGCGUAGGUGGCAUAAUAAGUAGCUAGGGAAAUCUGGUGGCGCAAACAGUCAGACUAUGAGCUAAACUGUUAAGCUCGAGACCGUUAGGGGUAACUGGAAUGUGUGGUGUAGGAGUGAAAGCCGUAGAUAUUAGGAGGAACACCAAUAGCGUAGGCAGGAUACUGGGACGUGUCUGACACUAAGGCACGAAAGCGUAGGGAGCAAACGGGAUUAGAUACCCUGGUAGUC